UUUAUACGUCGAAUUUCGGUCGCGUCGAAUGCAAUUGAUGCAAUAGAUAAUGGGAUAAUAAACCUCAUUAAGCUUCAUUAUCUAUUGUUUGAAUCGCAUUCGACGCGACCGAAAUUCGACGUAUAAA